CCUACGGGCGGCUGCAGUGGGGAAUAUUGCACAAUGGGCGCAAGCCUGAUGCAGCCAUGCCGCGUGUGUGAAGAAGGCCUUCGGGUUGUAAAGCACUUUCAGCGGGGAGGAAGGCGUUAAGGUUAAUAACCUUGGCGAUUGACGUUACCCGCAGAAGAAGCACCGGCUAACUCCGUGCCAGCAGCCGCGGUAAUACGGAGGGUGCCAGCGUUAAUCGGAAUUACUGGGCGUAAAGCGCACGCAGGCGGUCUGUCAAGUCGGAUGUGAAAUCCCCGGGCUCAACCUGGGAACUGCAUUCGAAACUGGCAGGCUAGAGUCUUGUAGAGGGGGGUAGAAUUCCAGGUGUAGCGGUGAAAUGCGUAGAGAUCUGGAGGAAUACCGGUGGCGAAGGCGGCCCCCUGGACAAAGACUGACGCUCAGGUGCGAAAGCGUGGGGAGCAAACAGGAUUAGAUACCCGUGUAGUC
rnacentral:rRNA from 1 species